GCCACCAUGGUGAAAUUGGUAGACACGCUACUCUUAGGAAGCAGUGCUCAAGCAUCUCGGUUCGAAUCCGAGUGGCGGCA
rnacentral:tRNA from 1 species